UACGUAGGGUGCGAGCGUUGUCCGGAAUUACUGGGCGUAAAGAGCUCGUAGGUGGUUUGUCGCGUUGUUCGUGAAAACCGGGGGCUUAACCCUCGGCGUGCGGGCGAUACGGGCAGACUGGAGUACUGCAGGGGAGACUGGAAUUCCUGGUGUAGCGGUGGAAUGCGCAGAUAUCAGGAGGAACACCGGUGGCGAAGGCGGGUCCCUGGGCAGUAACUGACGCUGAGGAGCGAAAGCGUGGGGAGCGAACAGG
rnacentral:rRNA from 1 species